rnacentral:lncRNA from 1 species
AAGAGAAACAAAUCUGCUGGGUCCCCCUCUGCAAUUAUGGAACUUCUUCAACUGGGGAACGGAAGCCCCAGGCACCCUGAGACGUGCUAGGAGGUGGCAAAAGCUGCGGACGUCACCUCGUAGUUAUUCCUGGACUUCAGUUUUACUUGAAGUGAUUUUUUUUUUCUUGGAAGAAGUUGAGUGAUUUAACUGACCUCCUGGAGGGCUCCUUCUCUCUGCCUCUGCAGGAACGCCGGAGAUGCCCAAGGUCCACACCGCUCCUCGGACCUCCCUGCUGCUGCCCUGCCCCCUGGGCCCAGCCACGCUCAGCUCCUCAUCAUUCUGAGCACACUCUUCACGCCCUCGCCACUUUGAAUAUGCUGUUCCCUCUGCUCGGAUCUAUGUUCCCCGCUUUGGCCACCUGGCAAACUGCUACUCAUUCUCAAAGACCCUGGGCCCUGCCUGCUCCUUGGGGUCUUCUCUGGUCCCCAGGCAGGGGCAGCCCCCUUGGGAACCUGCUGUGAGGACAGUCUGCCCGUCUGUCUCCCACUCUGGAUGAGUCCCUCACAGGUGGACCACGUGUUCCCGUCCACCCCCUCACCCACUUCAUGUUUCUUCAUAGCACACACAUUCUGCCUAAAGUGAUAGUGUAUAAUUAUUUGUUUAUAAGUCUUAUUUCUUCCCCCAAAAAUGUGAGUUCCAGUGGAGAAGGACCCUGUUUUGUUUUAACUUCCUAUACCCCUGUGCUUAGCACCAAGUUGGCCCGUAAUAAGUGUAUUCCUUUUCUGUAGCUGCUAUAAUACAUUGCCACAAACUUAGUGUCUAAACAGUCCAAAUGUAUUAUCUUACAGUUCUGGAGGUCAGAAAGCAAAACGGUUCUCACUGGGCUAAAAUCACAGUGUUGGCAGGGCUGCAUUCUUUUCUGGACAUUCCGGGGAGAGUCUAUUUCCUUACCUUUUCCAGCUUCUAAAGGCCUCCCACAUUCCUUGGCUCAUGGCCCCUUCCUCCAUCUCCAAAGGCAGAGAUGUGACAACUCUCUGACCAUUCUUCCAUAGCCACGUCUCCCUCUGACCAGAGCCAGGAAAGGUUUUCCACUUUGAAGGACCCAUGUGAUUAGACGGGAGCCACCUG